rnacentral:rRNA from 1 species
CCUACGGGCGGCAGCAGUGAGGAAUAUUGGUCAAUGGGCGAGAGCCUGAACCAGCCAAGUCGCGUGAGGGAGUACUGCCCUAUGGGUUGUAACCCUCUUUUGUCGGGGAGCAAAAGCCGGACGUCUCCGGCUGCGAGAGUACCCGAAGAAAAAGCAUCGGCUAACUCCGUUCCGGCAGCGGCGGUAAUUGGGAGGAUGCGCGGGUUAUCCGGAUUUUUUGGGUUAAAAGGGGGCGCAGGGGGAUUUUUAGGACAGCGGUCAAAUCGUGGGGCUAAACCCCAUCCAGCCGUUGAAACUGGGGAUCUAGAGUGUGCGAGAGGUAUGCGGAAUGCGUGGUGUAGCGGUGAAAUGCAUAGAUAUCACGCAGAACCCCGAUUGCGAAGGCAGCAUACCGGUGCACAACUGACGCUCAGGCACGAAAGCGUGGGUAUCGAACAGGAUUAGAUACCCUAGUAGUC